rnacentral:rRNA from 1 species
CGAGGGGCAGCGGGGGUGCAGGCUUGCCUGCACCUGCCGGCGACCGGCGCACGGGUGAGUAACACGUAUGGAACCUGCCCGCCACAGGGGGAUAACCCGGGGAAACCCGGCCUAAUACCCCAUGCCGCCCGGACCGGGCAUCCGGACCGGGCGAAAGGAGGAAUCCAGUGGCGGCUGGGCAUGCGGCGCAUUAGCUUGACGGCGGGGUAACGGCCCACCGUGGCGACGAUGCGUAGGGGUUCUGAGAGGAAGGCCCCCCACACUGGAACUGAGACACGGUCCAGACUCCUACGGGAGGCAGCAGUGAGGAAUAUUGGUCAAUGGGCGGAAGCCUGAACCAGCCAAGUCGCGUGAGGGAAUAAGGCCCUACGGGUCGUAAACCUCUUUUGCCGGGGAGCAAGGGCCGGGACGAGUCCCGGCCCGGAGAGUACCCGGAGAAAAAGCAUCGGCUAACUCCGUGCCAGCAGCCGCGGUAAUACGGAGGAUGCGAGCGUUAUCCGGAUUUAUUGGGUUUAAAGGGUGCGUAGGCGGGCUUUUAAGUCAGCGGUAAAAAUUCGGGGCUCAACCCCGUCCGGCCGUUGAAACUGGGGGCCUUGAGUGGGCGAGAAGAAGGCGGAAUGCGUGGUGUAGCGGUGAAAUGCAUAGAUAUCACGCAGAACCCCGAUUGCGAAGGCAGCCUUCCGGCGCCCUACUGACGCUGAGGCACGAAAGUGCGGGGAUCGAACAGGAUUAGAUACCCUGGUA